CCCUUAGAUGUUCUGGGCUGCACGCGCGCUACACUGAUGCGUUCAACGAGUUUAUGACCUUGCCCGAUAGGGUUGGGUAAUCUUUUUAAAUCGCAUCGUGAUGGGGAUAGAUUAUUGCAAUUAUUAAUCUUCAACGAGGAAUUCCUAGUAAGCGCGAGUCAUCAGCUCGUGCUGAUUACGUCCCUGCCCUUUGUACACACCGCCCGUCGCUCCUACCGUUUGAGUGAUCCGGUGAAUAAUUCGGACUGCAGCAGUGUUCAGUUCCUGAACGUUGCAGCGGAAAGUUUAGUGAACCUUAUCACUUAGAGGAAGGAGAANUCGUANCA
rnacentral:rRNA from 1 species